rnacentral:rRNA from 1 species
GACGAACGCUGGCGGCGUGCUUAACACAUGCAAGUCGAACGGAAAGGCCCUGCUUUUGUGGGGUGCUCGAUUGGCGAACGGGUGAGUAACACGUGAGUAACCUGCCCUUGACUUUGGGAUAACUUCAGGAAACUGGGGCUCAUACCGGGUAGGAGCUCCUGCUGCAUGUUGGGGAUUGGAAAGUUUCGGCGGUUUGGGAUGGACUCGCGGCUUAUCAGCUUGUUUGUGUGGUAGGGGCUUACCAAGGCUUUGACGGGUAGCCGGCAUGAGAGGGUGAACGGCCACAUUGGGACUGAGAGACGGCGCAGACGCGUACGGGAGGCAGUAGUGGGGAAUAUGGCACAAUGGGCGGAAGCCUGAGGCAGAAACGCCGCGUGCGGGAUGACGGCCUUCGGGUUGUAAACAGCUGUCGCCUGUGACGAAGCGUGAGUGACGGUAAUGGGUAAAGAAGCACCGGCUAACUACGUG